GUUGGUGAACCAGCGGAGGGAUCAUUACCGAAGUUACCCUUCAAAACCCACUGUGAACCAUACCUCUUGCCGCGUUGUCUCGGCGGGAGGCGCGAGGCCCCAGCGGCCCCGCGUCCCCGCCGGCAGCGCCAAACUCUAAACUGCAAAGCGUACUGCAUGCUCUGAUUUACAAAAAAAACAAGUUAAAACUUUCAACAACGGAUCUCUUGGUUCUG
rnacentral:misc_RNA from 1 species